AGCAUAUCAAUAAGCGGAGGAAAAGAAACCAACAGGGAUUGCCCUAGUAACGGCGAGUGAAGCGGCAACAGCUCAAAUUUGAAAUCUGGCUCUCUUUGGGGGUCCGAGUUGUAAUUUGCAGAGGAUGCUUUGGCAUUGGCGGCGGUCUAAGUUCCUUGGAACAGGACAUCGCAGAGGGUGAGAAUCCCGUACGUGGGCGCCUGCCUUUGCCGUGUAAAGCUCCUUCGACGAGUCGAGUUGUUUGGGAAUGCAGCUCUAAAUGGGAGGUAAAUUUCUUCUAAAGCUAAAUACCGGCCAGAGACCGAUAGCGCACAAGUAGAGUGAUCGAAAGAUGAAAAGUACUUUGGAAAGAGAGUCAAAAAGCACGUGAAAUUGUUGAAAGGGAAGCGCUUGCAGCCAGACUUGCCCGCAGUUGCUCACCUAGGCUUUGGCCUGGGGCACUCUUCUGCGGGCAGGCCAGCAUCAGUUUGGGCGGUUGGAUAAAGGCCUCUGUCACGUAUCUCCCUUCGGGGUGACCUUAUAGGGGAGGCGUAAUGCAACCAGCCCGGACUGAGGUCCGCGCAUCUGCUAGGAUGCUGGCGUAAUGGCUGUAAGCGGCCCGUCUUGAAACACGGACCAAGGAGUCUAACAUCUAUGCGAGUGUUUGGGUGUCAAGCCCGGGCGCGCAAUGAAAGUGAACGGAGGUGGGAACCCUUUGGGUGCACCAUCGACCGAUCCUGAUGUCUUCGGAUGGAUUUGAGUAAGAGCAUAGCUGUUGGGACCCGAAAGAUGGUGAACUAUGCUUGAAUAGGGUGAAGCCAGAGGAAACUCUGGUGGAGGCUCGCAGCGGUUCUGACGUGCAAAUCGAUCGUCAAAUUUGGGCAUAGGGGCGAAAGACUAAUCGAACCAUCUAGUAGCUGGUUCCUGCCGAU
rnacentral:rRNA from 1 species